UACGGAGGGGGCGAGCGUUAUUCGGAAUUAUUGGGCGUAAAGGGCGCGUAGGCGGCUUGACAAGUCAAAGGUGAAAUCCCUCGGCUCAACUGAGGAACUGCCUUUGAAACUGUCUGGCUUGAGGCCGGGAGGGGGUAGCGGAAUUCCCAGUGUAGCGGUGAAAUGCGUAGAUAUGCGGAGGAACACCGAUGGCGAAGGCAAUCCCCUGGGCCUGCACUGACGCUCAUGCACGAAAGCGUGGGGAGCAAACAGG
rnacentral:rRNA from 1 species